CAAUAGGCCAUUUCAUCUUUCUACCAAUCCAGCUGCUCCAGGAUGAUGGGAACAAGAUGAAGUUACCUUUUGAUGAACAUUUACAUGGAAUACAGGUAUCUUCAGAUCCUGUGCCCUCUUGGGGAGAUUGAUCCACAGACUCUUCUCCAGAUGCAAGGAUUAGCUGCUUCAAGAGUCUGUAGCCUUGACUUCCCCUCAAGAACAGCAUGAAAUCUGGAAUUAGUCAUGAAGAUUGAACUAAGGUCACCAAGCUUGCAUGGAAAUCACCUUGGCCAACUGAGCCAUCUAUCCUUUUCAUCAGGCAGUGAGGCUUGUCCAUGACCCUAGCCCAUGGCAUUGUGUGACUCACAUUUUAGAUACAGGUAGGAGAGCCAGAGGUUGGCCCUGAUUUGGUGUCUCUUACAUUGACUGGUCCUGAUGACCAACAGUCGAAUCAGAUGAAACAGUCAACUGGAAGACAAAACUUUGGGAAGUAGAAAGUGUGUCCGUCCCAAGGAAGGAACAAGUGAUGGGGAUCCCUCUGCGUACGGAUGUACAAAGGCAAAGGUUGGGAACGGAAUCCA